GAUGAACGCUGGCGGCGUGCCUAAUACAUGCAAGUCGAGCGAACAGACGAGGAGCUUGCUCCUUCGACGUUAGCGGCGGACGGGUGAGUAACACGUAGGUAACCUACCUAUAAGACUGGGAUAACUUCGGGAAACCGGAGCUAAUACCGGAUAAUAUUUCGAACCGCAUGGUUCGAUAGUGAAAGAUGGCUUUGCUAUCACUUAUAGAUGGACCUGCGCCGUAUUAGCUAGUUGGUAAGGUAACGGCUUACCAAGGCAACGAUACGUAGCCGACCUGAGAGGGUGAUCGGCCACACUGGAACUGAGACACGUUCCAGACUCCUACGGGAGGCAGCAGUAGGGAAUCUUCCGCAAUGGGCGAAAGCCUGACGGAGCAACGCCGCGUGAGUGAUGAAGGUCUUCGGAUCGUAAAACUCUGUUAUUAGGGAAGAACAAACGUGUAAGUAACUGUGCACGUCUUGACGGUACCUAAUCAGAAAGCCACGGCUAACUACGUG
rnacentral:rRNA from 1 species